GGUGGGUAUGUUAAUAGCAUACUCAUUUUGACGUUAGCUGCAGAAGAAGCACCGGCUAACUCCGUGCCAGCAGCCGCGGUAAUACGGAGGGUGCGAGCGUUAAUCGGAAUUACUGGGCGUAAAAGCGCAUGCAGGUGGUUUGUUAAAGUCAGAUGUGAAAAAGCCCGGGCUCAAACCUCCGGAAAUUGCAUUUGAAAACUGGCAAAACUAGAGUACUGUAGAGGGGGUAGAAUUUCAGGUGUAGCGGUGAAAAUGCGUAGAGAUCUGAAGGAAUACCGGUGGCGAAGGCGGCCCCUGGACAGAUACUGACACUCAGAUGCGAAAGCGUGGGGAGCAAACAGGAUUAGACACCCUGGUAG
rnacentral:rRNA from 1 species